rnacentral:lncRNA from 12 species
AUGGUUACGUCAUACCAACCUCUGGGUCAUUGGUUACACAGCCAUAGUAACUGGCACAGUGGGCAAAGUGAAAGAGAACACUGGGACCUCCCGAAAGCAGUUCCACGGCAGGAGUCGUCGGGUGGAACCCACCAGAGCAGUCUGGCCAGUGAAGCUGGCUUCCACCAGACACACAGGAGAGUUCUCGCUGCUGCUGCUGCUUCCUCACCUACGGCGGCGGGGAUGACGUCAGGCCCUCAGGAUCCUGAUGGGCCAGAACUGACGGGACAGCAGCGAGCCCACAUUGCAGCACGUGGCUGCUUGGUGGCUGUCUGCGAGGACGGAGGACCCACCUUGGCCACCUGCAGCCUCGUCCCGCUCCCCCAUCGCCCUGGCUGA